GAGAGUGGGUAGUCCGCACGAGCGCACCUCACUUUUAGUUGCCAUCAUUAAGUUGGGCACUCUGAAAGAACUGCCAGUGAUAAGCUGGAGGAAGGUGGGGAUGACGUCAAGUCCUCAUGGCCCUUACGUGUUGGGCUACACACGUGCUACAAUGGCAUCUACAACAGGAAGCAAAACGGCAACGUUAAGCAAAUCCCGAAAAGAUGCCUCAGUUCGGAUUGCACUCUGCAACUCGAGUGCAUGAAGCUGGAAUUACUAGUAAUCGUGGAUCAGCGUGCCACGGUGAAUGCGUUCCCGGGUCUUGUACACACCGCCCGUCACACCAUGGGAGUUGGUUCUACCUUAAGGCAAGGUUUUAAACCCUUGACCACGGUAUAGUCAGCGACUGGGGUGAAGUCGUAACAAGGUAGCCGUAGGGGAACCUGCGGCUGGAAUACCUCCUUUCU
rnacentral:rRNA from 1 species